AUACGGAGGGAGCAAGCGUUAUUCGGAAUCACUGGGCGUAAAGGACGCGUAGGCGGGUUUGUAAGUCAGGUGUGAAAUCCUACAGCUCAACUGUAGAACUGCACUUGAAACUACAGAUCUAGAGUAUGGAAGGGGCAGAUGGAAUUAGUGGUGUAGGGGUAAAAUCCGUAGAUAUCACUAGGAAUACCGAAAGCGAAGGCGAUCUGCUGGGACAUUACUGACGCUGAGGCGUGAAAGCGUGGGGAGCAAACAGGAUUAGAAACCCUUGUAGUCC
rnacentral:rRNA from 1 species